rnacentral:pre_miRNA from 1 species
UGCCCAGGAUGGCGCUCAUUACGUAGUCAACAAGUGAUUAGCAUCUGCCUGGGCAGA